CAGUCGCCGCGGUAAUACAGAGGGUGCGAGCGUUAAUCGGAUUUACUGGGCGUAAAGCGUGCGUAGGCGGCUUCUUAAGUCGGAUGUGAAAUCCCUGAGCUUAACUUAGGUAUUGCAUUCGAUACUGGGAAGCUAGAGUAUGGGAGAGGAUGGUAGAAUUCCAGGUGUAGCGGUGAAAUGCGUAGAGAUCUGGAGGAAUACCGAUGGCGAAGGCAGCCAUCUGGCCUAAUACUGACGCUGAGGUACGAAAGCAUGGGGAGCAAACAGGAUUAGAUACCCCAGUAGUCCCUGUCUCUUAUAC
rnacentral:rRNA from 1 species